UACAGAGGUCCCGAGCGUUGUUCGGAUUCAUUGGGCGUAAAGGGUGCGUAGGCGGCGGGGCAAGUCUGAUGUGAAAUCCUGGGGCUCAACCUCAGAACUGCAUUGGAUACUGCCUUGCUAGAGUACUGGAGAGGGAACUGGAAUUUACGGUGUAGCAGUGAAAUGCGUAGAGAUCGUAAGGAAGGCCAGUGGCGAAGGCGAGUUCCUGGACAGUUACUGACGCUGAGGCACGAAGGCCAGGGGAGCAAACGGG
rnacentral:rRNA from 1 species